GCACCCUUAGCUCAGCUGGAUAGAGCAACGGAUUUCUAAUCCGUAGGUCAGAGGUUCGAAUCCUCUAGGGUGUACCA
rnacentral:tRNA from 1 species